rnacentral:rRNA from 1 species
CAGCCGCCGCGGUAAUACGGAGGGUGCAAGCGUUAAUCGGAAUUACUGGGCGUAAAGCGCACGCAGGCGGUCUGACAAGUCAGAUGUGAAAUCCCCGGGCUUAACCUGGGAACUGCAUUUGAAACUGUCAGGCUGGAGUCUUGUAGAGGGGGGUGGAAUUCCAGGUGUAGCGGUGAAAUGCGUAGAGAUCUGGAGGAAUACCGGUGGCGAAGGCGGCCCCCUGGACAAAGACUGACGCUCAGGUGCGAAAGCGUGGGGAGCAAACAGGAUUAGAGACCCGUGUAGUCCCUGUCUCUUAUAC